rnacentral:misc_RNA from 1 species
CUCAGUUUAUGUUCCAAGUAUAAUAAGCCACCACUAGAACUCAAAUAGUGUGCUGCUUCAGCUUCGUUAAUUGAAAGAGCAGCUUUUGAACAUUUGUUUUCUUGGCAUAUAAAACAAUAUAAAACAAGCCAUGACAUCUCACUCAUGGAAACUUCUAUGCCCACCGUGACUUCAUUGAUUACUAUUUUUCAAUGCAGUUAAGUCAACCACCAAUUCUGGUCAUUAUAUCACAAGGCUACUUGGUUCUCACUUGCUUUAUAAUAAAACAUCUUCUGUACAUAAAAAAUCAUGUAGCCUUGUGCAGCCCUCACAAU